rnacentral:rRNA from 1 species
UGGGGAAUUUUGGACAAUGGGCGAAAGCCUGAUCCAGCAAUGCCGCGUGUGUGGAGAAGGCCUUCGGGUUGUAAAGCACUUUUGUCCGGAAAGAAAUCCUUGGCUCUAAUACAGUCGGGGGAUGACGGUACCGGAAGAAUAAGCACCGGCUAACUACGUGCCAGCAGCCGCGGUAAUACGUAGGGUGCAAGCGUUAAUCGGAAUUACUGGGCGUAAAGCGUGCGCAGGCGGUUUGCUAAGACCGAUGUGAAAUCCCCGGGCUCAACCUGGGAACUGCAUUGGUGACUGGCAGGCUAGAGUAUGGCAGAGGGGGGUAGAAUUCCACGUGUAGCAGUGAAAUGCGUAGAGAUGUGGAGGAAUACCGAUGGCGAAGGCAGCCCCCUGGGCCAAUACUGACGCUCAUGCACGAAAGCGUGGGGAGCAAACAGGAUUAGAUACCCUGGUAGUCCACGCCCUAAACGAUGUCAACUAGUUGUUGGGGAUUCAUUUCCUUAGUAACGUAGCUAACGCGUGAAGUUGACCGCCUGGGGAGUACGGUCGCAAGAUUAAAACUCAAAGGAAUUGACGGGGUCAUAGCUGUUUCCU